GGCGGAGCAAUCUGUCACUUGAGGAUGGGCCUGCGGCGCAUUAGCUAGUUGGUGAGGUAACGGCUCACCAAGGCGACGAUGCGUAGCCGACCUGAGAGGGUGAACGGCCACACUGGGACUGAGACACGGCCCAGACUCCUACGGGAGGCAGCAGUAGGGAAUCUUCCGCAAUGGGCGAAAGCCUGACGGAGCACGCCGCGUGAGUGAUGAAGGUUUUCGGAUCGUAAAGCUCUGUUGCCAGGGAAGAACGUCUCAUAGAGUAACUGCUAUGAGAGUGACGGUACCUGAGAAGAAAGCCCCGGCUAACUACGUGCCAGCAGCCGCGGUAAUACGUAGGGGGCAAGCGUUGUCCGGAAUUAUUGGGCGUAAAGCGCGCGCAGGCGGUUCUUUAAGUCUGGUGUUUAAACCCGAGGCUCAACUUCGGGACGCACUGGAAACUGGGGAACUUGAGUGCAGAAGAGGAGAGUGGAAUUCCACGUGUAGCGGUGAAAUGCGUAGAUAU
rnacentral:rRNA from 1 species